GCUGGGUACAGUGGUGCACACCUGUAAUCUUAGCAACUUGGGAGGCUGAGGCAGGAGGAUGGCGAGUUCAAGGACAGCCUGGAAAAUUUAAUGAGACCCUGUCUCAA
rnacentral:sRNA from 1 species